GUUUGACCUCGGAUCAGGUAGGAAUACCCGCUGAACUUAAGCAUAU
rnacentral:rRNA from 3 species